GAGCAGGGCUGAAGUUGGCUAAUGCCGUGUGCUGUUGGCUUUCAACAAUUCCGAUAGAGAAACUGAAGCACAGAGAGGUUAUGCAGCUUUCCCAGGUUCAUGUAGCUGGUAAGAACAGAGUCCAUGUUCUUAUCACUCAAGAUGUUCUAUUGGGGACGGCAUGCCAUGGUCUUAAGGAUCGCCCCCUUCUCAGAUGAUCUGCUGCUCACCUCAGAUACCUACAGAGACUCUGCUGGUGCCUGUCAAAGGUGCUGUCACCUCCCACUCCCACAAAAAGUGCCGCUG
rnacentral:lncRNA from 1 species